AUUGAACGCUGGCGGCAUGCUUUACACAUGCCAGUCGAACGGUAACAGGCCGCAAGGUGCUGACGAGUGGCGAACGGGUGAGUAAUGCAUCGGAACGUGCCCAGUCGUGGGGGAUAACUACUCGAAAGAGUAGCUAAUACCGCAUACGAUCUAUGGAUGAAAGCGGGGGACCGUAAGGCCUCGCGCGAUUGGAGCGGCCGAUGUCAGAUUAGGUAGUUGGUGGGGUAAAGGCUCACCAAGCCAACGAUCUGUAGCUGGUCUGAGAGGACGACCAGCCGCACUGGAACUGGGACACGGCCCAGACUCCUACGGGAGGCAGCAGUGGGGAAUUGUGGACAAUGGGCGCAAGCCUGAUCCAGCAAUGCCGCGUGCAGGAAGAAGGCCUUCGGGUUGUAAACUGCUUUUGUACGGAACGAAACGGCUCUGGUUAAUACCCGGGGCUAAUGACGGUACCGGAAGAAUAAGCACCGGCUAACUACGUG
rnacentral:rRNA from 1 species